UAAAUUAUGAUAAUAGGAGAAAAGACCCAUUGGAAAAUCUCUACUCAAAGUCUGAUUAACUUUGGAAGCAGUUGGGACUUCAGCUGCUGUUUACCCAUCAAAGUCUGUGCACAUGGAUAAGAUCCUCCUGAACCUUCUCUUCCCCAGGCUGACCACUCCCAGCAGUCUUGGUUGUCAGGUGCUGCAAUGCCUUACUCAUCUUCAUGCAAGAUGCACCAGAUUCACUCUGGUUCUACAGCUGAAAUGUGGGAUAUCAAAAUGUGACAGACACGUGUACACAAAAGAAGAAAAAUAAAUUGUGAAGUUGUUUAUUAGAGAAUAUGGUUAAGUACUGCAAGACAGAACUACAAGAGAAAAGUAUGUGAAGAUAUUUAAGUUAAC